rnacentral:rRNA from 1 species
GCAAGCUGAGAAACGGCUAGCAAUCUACGGAGGCAGCAGGCGCGCAAAUUACGCAAUGGGAGAACCAUCCCGACGUAGUGAAGAAAAAUAACGAUGUAGUUCUUAUUUACAAGAUCUACAAUUGGAAUGAGUACACUGUAAAUAUGUUAACGAGUAUCCAUUAGAGGGCAAGUCUGGUGCCAGCAGCCGCGGUAAUUCCAGCUCUAAUAGCGUAUAUUAAAGUUGUUGCGGUUAAAAAGCUCGUAGUUGGAUUUUUGGCUUUGCUCUCAAGUUAGGAAUACCGUUAAGGUUAGUUUGGCUACUUUAAACACAAACUGCAAUACGCAUUUGUGGGUCACUAGCUGGUAUUUUUAUAGCUUAGAGCGGCCGUUUCGUCACUUUUAUAAGGUGCGAAACACGUCUAUUCAAUGCUUACUCCGGUUUGCUUUGUUUAGAUGAGUUUACCUUGAGAAAAUUAGAGUGCUCAAAGCAGGCGAAUCGUAUGCCGUAUGGUAUGCAUUAAUGCUUGAAUAAUGUUGCAUGGAAUAAUAGAAUAUGGCCUCGGUUCUAUUCUGUUGGUCUUGUAGAACAACAAACAAGUUCGCUAAAUCUAACAAUGUUCUCUGUUGAGUGGCAUUAAUUCUAGUUAUUUUUGCUUUUGAUAUAUUGUAUGUUGCCUUGUCCGCAAGGAUAAGUGCCAUCAGUUAUUUUAAGCUUAAAAUAGCUAAGAAUUGUGCCCGUUAGAAAAGCUCAACAGUUAACAAGAUUUGCGAAUCGAGGCAAUGGUUAAGAGGGAUAGACGGGGGCAUUCGUACUGCAUCGCUAGAG